rnacentral:rRNA from 1 species
AGUGAACGCUGGCGGUAGGCCUAACACAUGCAAGUCGAACGGCAGCACAGUAAGAGCUUGCUCUUACGGGUGGCGAGUGGCGGACGGGUGAGGAAUACAUCGGAAUCUACUUUUUCGUGGGGGAUAACGUAGGGAAACUUACGCUAAUACCGCAUACGACCUACGGGUGAAAGCAGGGGAUCUUCGGACCUUGCGCGAUUGAAUGAGCCGAUGUCGGAUUAGCUAGUUGGCGGGGUAAAGGCCCACCAAGGCGACGAUCCGUAGCUGGUCUGAGAGGAUGAUCAGCCACACUGGAACUGAGACACGGUCCAGACUCCUACGGGAGGCAGCAGUGGGGAAUAUUGGACAAUGGGCGCAAGCCUGAUCCAGCCAUACUGCGUGGGUGAAGAAGGCCUUCGGGUUGUAAAGCCCUUUUGUUGGGAAAGAGAAGCAGCAGGUUAAUACCCCGCUGUUCUGACGGUACCCAAAGAAUAAGCACCGGCUAACUUCGUG